rnacentral:rRNA from 1 species
AUACGGAGGGUGCAAGCGUUACUCGGAAUCACUGGGCGUAAAGCGCACGCAGGCGGCUAUUUAAGUUGGAUGUGAAAGCCUACGGCUCAACCGUAGAACUGCAUCCAAAACUAUUUAGCUAGAGUGUGGGAGAGGAAGAUGGAAUUAGUUGUGUAGGGGUAAAAUCCGUAGAGAUAACUAGGAAUACCAAAAGCGAAGGCAAUCUUCUGGAACACUACUGACGCUGAGGCGCGAAAGCGUGGGGAGCAAACGGGAUUAGAAACCCUUGUAGUCC